CGCGGCCUAUCAGCUUGUUGGUGAGGUAACGGCUCACCAAGGCAACGACGGGUAGCUGGUCUGAGAGGACGAUCAGCCACACUGGGACUGAGACACGGCCCAGACUCCUACGGGAGGCAGCAGCAGGGAAUAUUGCACAAUGGGCGCAAGCCUGAUGCAGCGACGCCGCGUGAGGGAUGAAGGCCCUCGGGUUGUAAACCUCUUUCAGGAGGGACGAAGCGAAAGUGACGGUACCUCCAGAAGAAGCCCCGGCCAACUACGUGCCAGCAGCCGCGGUAAUACGUAGGGGGCGAGCGUUGUCCGGAUGCAUUGGGCGUAAAGAGCUCGUAGGCGGCUCAGUAAGUCGGCCGUGAAAGCCCGGAGCUCAACUCCGGGACGCCGGUCGAUACUGCUGUGGCUAGGGUCCGGUAGAGGAGAGUGGAAUUCCCGGUGUAGCGGUGAAAUGCGCAGAUAUCGGGAGGAACACCAGUAGCGAAGGCGGCUCUCUGGGCCGGUACCGACGCUGAGGAGCGAAAGCUAGGGGAGCAAACAGGAUUAGAUACCCUGGUAGUCCUAGCCGUAAACGUCGGGCACUAGGUGUGGCGGAUUCAUUGACAUCUGCCGUGCCGGCGCUAACGCAUUAAGUGCCCCGCCUGGGGAGUACGG
rnacentral:rRNA from 1 species